rnacentral:rRNA from 1 species
CCUACGGGCGGCAGCAGUGGGGAAUAUUGGACAAUGGGGGCAACCCUGAUCCAGCCAUGCCGCGUGUGUGAAGAAGGCCCUCGGGUUGUAAAGCACUUUCAGUGAGGAAGAACGCCUGGUGGUUAAUACCCAUCAGGAAAGACAUCACUCACAGAAGAAGCACCGGCUAACUCCGUGCCAGCAGCCGCGGUAAUACGGAGGGUGCGAGCGUUAAUCGGAAUUACUGGGCGUAAAGCGCGCGUAGGUGGCUUGAUAAGCCGGUUGUGAAAGCCCCGGGCUCAACCUGGGAACGGCAUCCGGAACUGUUAAGCUAGAGUGCAGGAGAGGAAGGUAGAAUUCCCGGUGUAGCGGUGAAAUGCGUAGAGAUCGGGAGGAAUACCAGUGGCGAAGGCGGCCUUCUGGACUGACACUGACACUGAGGUGCGAAAGCGUGGGUAGCAAACAGGAUUAGAUACCCCGGUAGUC